rnacentral:lncRNA from 1 species
CAUGGUAGACAAAGGAAAGACUUUUUUAGUUAGGUUUAAAAUUAAUUUAGCAGGCAAUUGUUUUUGACUAAAGAUUAGUUUUCCUUGAUCUGGGAAGGUAAUUUUUAAAUGUUAACCUUUUUAGGAGGGGAUACACAUAGAAAAUCUUAGUAAUCUUAGUGAUGUCUACCCACAUACGAUAAUCAGCUGAAAAUGAUAAAUGGAAGAUAGAUGUCAGAGACAAAUUACCUUCAUAUCUGGGCAGAUGAUAACUAUAUGUGGCCAGGAUGGAUGCCAUGAACUUGAAUAUAGAAAAUCCCAAGGAAUCCACUGAAAAAUUACAAGAACUGAAACAUGAGUUUUGUAAGUUUGCAGGUACAGUAU